rfam:Schistosoma mansoni strain Puerto Rico chromosome 6, complete genome
AUCCAGUUGACGAGUCCCAAGUAGGACGAAACGCGCGUCCUGGAU